UUUCCGUAGGUGAACCUGCGGAAGGAUCAUUACUGAGUGAGGGCCCCUCAGGGUCCAACCUCCCACCCGUGUUUAACGAACCUUGUUGCUUCGGCGGGCCCGCCUCACGGCCGCCGGGGGGCAUCUGCCCCCGGGCCCGCGCCCGCCGAAGCCACCUGUGAACGCUGUCUGAAGUAUGCAGUCUGAGACAAUUAUUAAAUUAAUUAAAACUUUCAACAACGGAUCUCUUGGUUCUG
rnacentral:misc_RNA from 1 species